rnacentral:rRNA from 1 species
UACGGGGGGAGCAAGCGUUGUUCGGAUUUAUUGGGCGUAAAGAGCUCGUAGGCGGCUUGUCGCGUCGACUGUGAAAACCCGCGGCUCAACUGUGGGCUUGCAGUCGAUACGGGCAGGCUGGAGUUCGGUAGGGGAGACUGGAAUUCCUGGUGUAGCGGUGAAAUGCGUAGAUAUCAGGAGGAACACCGGUGGUGUAGACGGCUUUCUGGACCGUAACUGACGCUGAGACACGAAAGCGUGGGUAGCAAACAGG